rnacentral:rRNA from 1 species
ACAUCCAGAGAACUUAGCAGAGAUGCUUUGGUGCCUUCGGGGAACUCUGAGACAGGUGCUGCAUGGCUGUCGUCAGCUCGUGUUGUGAAAUGUUGGGUUAAGUCCCGNAACGAGCGCAACCCUUAUCCUUUGUUGCCAGCGGUUCGGCCGGGAACUCAAAGGAGACUGCCGGUGAUAAACCGGAGGAAGGUGGGGAUGACGUCAAGUCAUCAUGGCCCUUACGGCCAGGGCUACACACGUGCUACAAUGGCGCAUACAAAGAGAAGCGACCUCGCGAGAGCAAGCGGACCUCAUAAAGUGCGUCGUAGUCCGGAUUGGAGUCUGCAACUCGACUCCAUGAAGUCGGAAUCGCUAGUAAUCGUAGAUCAGAAUGCUACGGUGAAUACGUUCCCGGGCCUUGUACACACCGCCCGUCACACCAUGGGAGUGGGUUGCAAAAGAAGUAGGUAGCUUAACCUUCGGGAGGGCGCUUACCACUUUGUGAUUCAUGACUGGGGUGAAGUCGUAACAAGGUAGGCGUAGUGCU